UCCGUAGGUGGAUAAUUAAGUCAGGGGUGAAAGUCUGCAGCUAACUGUAGAAUUGCCCUUGAUACUGGUUGUCUUGAGUCAUUAUGAAGUAGUUAGAAUAUGUAGUGUAGCGGUGAAAUGCAUAGAUAUUACAUAGAAUACCAAUUGCGAAGGCAGAUUACUAAUAAUGUACUGACACUGAUGGACGAAAGCGUGGGGAGCGAACAGGAUUAGAUACCCUGGUAGUCC
rnacentral:rRNA from 1 species